rnacentral:rRNA from 1 species
GAUGAACGCUGGCGGCGUGCCUAAUACAUGCCAGUCGAGCGAACAGACGAGGAGCUUGCUCCUCUGACGUUAGCGGCGGACGGGUGAGUAACACGUGGAUAACCUACCUAUAAGACUGGGAUAACUUCGGGAAACCGGAGCUAAUACCGGAUAAUAUAUUGAACCGCAUGGUUCAAUAGUGAAAGACGGUUUUGCUGUCACUUAUAGAUGGAUCCGCGCCGCAUUAGCUAGUUGGUAAGGUAACGGCUUACCAAGGCAACGAUGCGUAGCCGACCUGAGAGGGUGAUCGGCCGCACUGGAACUGAGACACGGUCCAGACUCCUACGGGAGGCAGCAGUAGGGAAUCGUCCGCAAUGGGCGAAAGCCUGACGGAGCAACGCCGCGUGAGUGAUGAAGGUCUUCGGAUCGUAAAACUCUGUUAUUAGGGAAGAACAAAUGUGUAAGUAAAUAUGCACGUCUUGACGGUACCUAAUCAGAAAGCCACGGCUAACUACGUG